rnacentral:rRNA from 1 species
AGUAACACGUGGAUAACCUACCUAUAAGACUGGGAUAACUUCGGGAAACCGGAGCUAAUACCGGAUAAUAUAUUGAACCGCAUGGUUCAAUAGUGAAAGACGGUUUUGCUGUCACUUAUAGAUGGAUCCGCGCCGCAUUAGCUAGUUGGUAAGGUAACGGCUUACCAAGGCAACGAUGCGUAGCCGACCUGAGAGGGUGAUCGGCCACACUGGAACUGAGACACGGUCCAGACUCCUACGGGAGGCAGCAGAC